rnacentral:rRNA from 1 species
UACGUAGGGGGCAAGCGUUGUCCGGAAUCAUUGGGCGUAAAGAGCGCGUAGGCGGCCCGAUAAGUCCGCUGUGAAAGUCAAGGGCUCAACCCUUGAAUGCCGGUGGAUACUGUCGGGCUAGAGUCCGGAAGAGGCGAGUGGAAUUCCUGGUGUAGCGGUGAAAUGCGCAGAUAUCAGGAGGAACACCAAUGGCGAAGGCAGCUCGCUGGGACGGUACUGACGCUGAGACGCGAAAGCGUGGGGGAGCGAACAGG